ACUGAUAAUAUUUUGGCAUAAUCAAUUCUAAAAGUUAACUUUUUCUCUAAGGAUAACAAAGCCGAUGUGAUUUUAAAAUACAAUGCAGAUGAAGCCAGGAGUCUGAAGGCAUAUGGAGAGCUUCCUGAGCAUGCUAAAAUCAAUGAAACUGAUACAUUUGGUCCUGGAGAUGAUGAUGAAAUUCAGUUUGAUGACAUUGGAGAUGAUGACGAAGACAUCGAUGAUAUCUAAAUUGAACAAGAUUUUACAUUCCAGUUUUCUGAAGAUUGUCCUGCAGUUUGGAUUUUGGCCAUGACCCUUAAGGAAGAUUAAAAUUUCAUUAGCAUGAAUGCAAUUUGUUAAAGACUGAUUUGUUUCUGAGGUAUUUGUGUUUCUUUAAAAACUGAUAAUACUGAAUUGACAUCUUAAACCCACAUUGUUCUUUUGACAUACUGGAGCUUAUGAAUAGAAGACCAUAUCUACUGUUUAAAAAAGAAAACAAUGCAUUAUUGCCUUUCCUACCUUGAUUACUUCCAACUUCCAGUAAGUAAAUAGAUGUUUUGAAUAAACCAUUUGCCUUGUAUUCAUUAUGGACUAGGAUUAAGCCCUAGUUUGGAUUAGUCUGUUGACUGUACAGAGUCCCUCUGUAUAUUAGUUACCUAGAUGCUCCUUGAGAUUUUUAUAGAAUUUGAAAGAGGCAGAAAUCUGCAUUUGAAGUAAAAAAAUGAUAGGUCUGUGUUUAAGUAGCAUGUGGCUUAUUUUUGUACUAAUUUUGAUACCAUGUACAUUCUUUUCAUGAUCUUAUUUUGCCACCAUGAACAUAUCAAGGAAAAAAUAUCUCCAAAAUGUAGUUUUUAGAACCUGGGUUUUAAUAGAAAUUUUGAAUGUAUAGUAGUUACAGAAAUUGAACACUGGGUGGCACCCCACUAUCUUAACAUUGGAAAUACUGAUGUAAUUGGCUUAAAAGAAAAAAACUUUGCAUAGGCAGUUUCCCAAACAAGAAAAGUUCGUUUUGAUUAUGUGCAUGUAUGUAGAAUUUAUUUACCAAACAGAAAGAUUGUGUUAAAAAGUUUUACUUUAUUUUCUGAAGUCACACAUGUAAGCUAUAAUUUUGAGUGCUUUAUAAACACUUAAAACAUAUAAAAAUGGAAUUUUAAUUUCCUAACAACUUGUACAAAUUAAGCCUUUUUCAACCUGUCCCUAAGUUAGGGAAGUAGGAAGGAAUAACAAUUUAACGAAAAGAUGGUCUCCAAUUUCUUAAUUAAAGAGCUACAACUGAGAAAUACAAUAAAGAAAACAUGCUGCAGAGUA